GGCAGAAGCAGCAAGGGUGCAGCCAACUAGCUCUUAAACAAAUCCAGGCUGGACCUGUGAGUUCUUCUCACCAACAGAAUACGGCAAAAGUGACAGGACUAAAUGCUUAUGCAUACAUGACUUAUGCUUAUGCAUAAGACUGUAGCUCAUCCUGUUGGAAUAUUCACUCCUGCCAGCUUUGAAGAAGCAACUUCCCAUGCUGUGAGCAGCCAUUAUGGAAAACAGUAUGGAAGUUCCUCAAAAAACUUAAAGUAGAACUACCAUACGACUGACCAGUCUAUCUACUGGGUAUAUACCCAAAGGAACUGGAAUCAACAUGUCAGAGAAAUAUCUGCACUCACAUGCGCCAUUAUUCACAUCAGCCAAGACAUGGAAUCGACCUAAGUGUCCAGCAAAGGAUGAAAGAUAAAGAAAAUGUGGUGCAUAGACACAAAGGAAUAUUAUUCAGCCCUGAAAAGGAAGGAAAUGCUGUCAUUUGUGACAACAUGAACAAACCUAGAGGACAUUAUGCUAAUUGACAUAUGCUAUGUGAAUUAAAAAUUAUGCUAAGUGAAAUAAGCCAGGCCCAGAAUGCUGGUGUCCCCUUCUCCCUGCUGUCCCAAUGCUCCCACCAAAUCAGUCAACGUCAUACGUAGACUUGCCCAUCGUACAGCUCACCCUGUGGCACAGCAGGGCCUGCACGUGCCCUAGUGCAGGACGCCAAGUCACCCAGUGCUGAUUCCUGAUUUCUAGGACAGAAGAUCCACUGGCUCACAAUGGCUUAGGUGUCCACCUGGAUCAUGGCCCUAGCCAGGCAGUUGAGGCCCAGGACAGCCAGGGCACUCCUGAGAGGCUGUCUCUGGAGAACUAUCUGGGGGUCUGGGGGACUCAGGGCUGGACGGACUCCCAGAAACAUUCUCAUCCAGAGCUGGGACAGGAAUACCUCCAGCAUCCGUAGCUCCCAUGGACAAUGUGAUGCCCUUUUAAAGCAGCAAGUACAUGGCACUGGGUGCCAUGGGCAUGGGAAUGAUAAGGACCGUGGGGUGGAGCAGAGAAAUUGGUUUUACAUUGUAGCUGUGGACAACACUGUUAUUUUGUAUUAUUUGUUGUACUUAACAUGAUUCUGUACAAAGAAUGCUCGAAAGGAGAAAAGACAGAGGAAGUUCAGUAAAUUAGAGGGAAGUUCCCUGCUGUGCCAUGGAGCAAUAUUUAUAAUCUGGGCCCUUUAGGGAAGGGAUUACUGGCACAGAGAUUACAACGGCGCUGUAAGAAGAGAUUCCAGACCAGUUUUGUAAUUUAUUUCACUUUCAUGAAACCCCCCACAAAUCAGAAAAGCUCUGUAAGUAGAGACUUCUCUGAAGGGAACAUCCAAGGGAAGAAGCUCCUCCCCUCUUGAAGAGGUGGUGGAGGGACCUCGGGAGGGUGGAAUUCAAAGCAGUUAAGCAAUCGUCAUUGAACGCGUGGCCCCUGAGCACGCUGGCUGCAGGGCUGGUUCCCUCACCUCGCUGCUCCCUGGCAUCCGACCUGUGAGAUGGUAACAGUGGCAUCUACCAAAUAGGACUGUAGUGAGAACCGCUACGAGUCUCUAAUGCACAGCAAGGUUUAUGUGAAUAUUAGCCAUUUUUACUAUUGCUCUGAUUCCUGGGGAGUAGCUGAAAGUCAGUGCACUCAAGCCCCUGAAGUGCCGUCUUCUUGUCACCAUCAUGAUUUUCUCUUUUA
rnacentral:lncRNA from 10 species